CACGACACCAGGGAACGGUCCCUGCAAGGCAGGCAACAGCAUGGGACACACUGAAGGAGCCACGUCUGAUUUUGGAGAGCAUAGGACUGGUGUACAACAUUUUCUUACUGCAAAUUUCAAUAGCCAUGAAAGACAAACGCAGUUGAUGACAUAGCACGUAUCACAGCAGAAAACCCCAAUCAAUCAGUCUUUCCUGUUUCUCUGAGAAGUCCAAGUGCCCGAUCUAAGCACACAGAUCCCUUUCUUCCUCUCAUCUCCCUGGAUCACACUGUAACCAGAUUUCCUUUUGUCUGCCAAGAUAAUCCCCACCAUCCGAGGCACUUUUGCAGAAGCCAUCACUCACAGCCCUCUGGUUUCCCAUGGCCAUCAUGUCCUCCCAUCCCAGUGUCAGCAGGAGAGGAGCACUGCCAGACAGCACCAUUUGGACACCACCUCCCACUGCUUCCCCCCUCUCCAGCCACACGAAGCUUUGUACAAUGGGCAAUACUCAAUCUGACAGAUGGAUCGGUGCUGGACUGGAUGUCAAAGGCAGCACAGCUGAAAGCCGUGCCAUUGAGCACAGGGCACAUCCAGCCAGCAUUCAUGGGGAGCCAGGGCACACAGCUGCCACGGAGAGCUGGGCCAGUACUGCCCACCUUCUCCUUUCAGCUCUGAAACUCCAUAUGCGGUUUGAUUUUUUCUGUGAGAUGAAUCACAUGACCUUUUGCUAAGUCUGCUGCUCUGCUUCCCACCAAGCCCAAAAUCAACACCUUGAGUUUGCUGUGAGAAUCUCUGGAUAACCAGAGCCGAAGAACACACAAAGCUGCCAUCCCAGACUGCAGGCCGUGCAGUGACAGGCAGUCCUGUCGCACUGGGUCUCGUUUCCAAUGAGUCACAGACAUCACAUGGAAAAGGGAUGCGUCACUGGGGGCACACUGCACUUCCACUUCUUUACUCAAAAUGCUCCUCUGCCUUCGAAUCCAAACUCCUAAAUUUUCAUUAGGAGUUGCUUUCUCCAUAAUGGACCGCUUCCACUUUUAAUCUUAAUUAGGAGCAGGCUGAGCUGCUGCCCAGCUUUAUGCUGCUUCACCAUAUAGCUGAAGAUGGAUGGGAAACCCUUGUGCCACACCAAAGUGUCUGAUUCUUUUCUUCUUCUACACAAACACGGUGGCAGGUGACAGAGAAUGAGAUUUCCAAGCACCUGACAGGAGGACGCUCAAGGAUGGACUUGAAACCUGCCUGAGGAGCAGCCAGCUGCUGGAACCCAGCACAGCCCUGCUGGAUGUAUGGAGCUCUUCAUCCCUUUCCAUCUUCUGCUGAAAGAAGAGCUUACAGAGGGAAGGCAUUGGCAGGCAGUGCUCUGCAGAAUUCAAAAGGCAGACACAGCAGCACAGAGAGAACAAUUAGAGGCCCAAUUAACAUGCAAGCAAAAUAUCUCUUGAACAGAAAUAAGGAUGCUUGCUAAAAGUGAUCUUUGUCUCAGCAUUUUCCCUGCUGAUUUAUUCUGAAGAGCCAAUGAGGUGUGUGUAUAUAUAUAUUUUCUCUAGCAGAAUUGCUCACCUAGUUAUAUUGCACGUCCUAUUUGUUCACCGUUUCUCUAUUACUGUGCCCAUUUAAAACAUACUUUACAACAACCAGGAACACGGCUGCCUUCACAAGCAGUGCUUCGUGAGCACCAGCAGAAAUGCAGAGCACUGGCAUGGGAAGGGGCAGUUCUGUACUACUCCACAUCCUGGGGUCCAGCAGUGCCUGGCAGGGGCUGCAGGGGGCAGCCCAUAGGGCAGCUGCUCGUCCUGUUUUUCUUCCUUGUUUUUUUGGUUUUUUUUUUGUUGUUGUUGUUGUUUUUGUUUUCAAAUUACUCAAACCACAGAUUUUCUCUCAUUGUCAGACCUUGGUCUUUUUUGGAACACCUAGUGCUACCAGAACAUGUAGUCAGAAUAGUCACACACUGAACAGGUUGCCCAAAGAGGCUGUGGAUGCCCCAUCCCUGCAGGCAUUCAAGGCCAGGCUGGAUGUGGCUCUGGGCAGCCUGGUCUGCUGGUUGGCGACCC
ensembl:lncRNA